rnacentral:tRNA from 1 species
GCCGACGUAACUCAGUGGAAGAGUAGCACCCUCCGAAGGUGAAAGUCAUGGGUUCAAGUCCCAUCGUUGGCAC